CGUCUCUUUUGACAGCGUUUAUUCACAACAAAGCCAGAAGUCGAAGGAGCAACACAUUGUGUAAAGUUGUGGAGGUUGUCAUGUACUGUAUUGCCUAGGGAAGGCAUAGGACUUGCAAUAGUCAAGGAUAAGAAGGCUCAUGUUAUAGAGUCACGUCGUAACGUGCAGCUUAUGAUAAGCUUGACGCAUGCUGGCAGUCACUGCCCGGUCAAGUUGGGGGUUUUGUUU